rnacentral:rRNA from 1 species
UACGUAGGGGGCAAGCGUUGUCCGGAAUCAUUGGGCGUAAAGAGCGUGUAGGCGGCUCGAUAAGUCUGCUGUGAAAGUCCAGGGCUCAACCCUGGAAGGCCGGUGGAAACUGUCGGGCUAGAGUUCGGAAGAGGCGAGUGGAAUUCCCGGUGUAGCGGUGAAAUGCGCAGAUAUCGGGAGGAACACCAAUGGCGAAGGCAGCUCGCUGGGACGUUACUGACGCUGAGACGCGAAAGCGUGGGGAGCAAACAGG